UACGGAAGGUGCAAGCGUUAAUCGGAAUUAUUGGGCGUAAAGGGCGCGUAGGCGGAUUAGAAAGUUCGAUGUGAAAUUCCAGGGCUCAACCCUGGAGCUGCAUUGAAAACUUCUAGUCUCGAGGAUAGGCGGAGAAAACGGAAUUCCAUGUGUAGCGGUGAAAUGCGUAGAUAUAUGGAAGAACACCGGUGGCGAAGGCGGUUUUCUAGCUUAUUCCUGACGCUGAGGCGCGAAAGCAAGGGGAGCAAAC
rnacentral:rRNA from 1 species